rnacentral:rRNA from 1 species
GAUCCUGGCUCAGAUUGAACGCUGGCGGCAUGCUUUACACAUGCAAGUCGAACGGCAGCGGGGUAGUGCUUGCACUACUGUCCGGCGAGUGGCGAACGGGUGAGUAAUAUAUCGGAACGUACCGAGUAAUGGGGGAUAACCAAUCGAAAGAUUGGCUAAUACCGCAUACGUCCUACGGGAGAAAGCGGGGGAUCGCAAGACCUCGCGUUAUUCGAGCGGCCGAUAACUGAUUAGCUAGUUGGUGGGGG